GGGCCGGUAGAUCAACGGUAGAUCGCGGCUCUUGCAAAGCCGAGGCUCCGGGUUCGAAUCCCGGCCGGUCCA
rnacentral:tRNA from 1 species